GAGUUUGAUCAUGGCUCAGAUUGAACGCUGGCGGCAUGCUUUACACAUGCAAGCCGAACGGCAGCACAAGGAGCUUGCUCCUGGGUGGCGAGUGGCGAACGGGUGAGUAAUGUAUCGGAACGUGCCUGGUAGUGGGGGAUAACCACUCGAAAGAGUGGCUAAUACCGCAUGAGAUCUCUGGAUGAAAGCGGGGGACCUUUUGGCCUCGCGCUACUGGAGCGGCCGAUAUCAGAUUAGGUAGUUGGUGGGGUAAAGGCCUACCAAGCCUGCGAUCUGUAGCUGGUCUGAGAGGACGACCAGCCACACUGGGACUGAGACACGGCCCAGACUCCUACGGGAGGCAGCAGUGGGGAAUUUUGGACAAUGGGCGCAAGCCUGAUCCAGCAAUGCCGCGUGCAGGACGAAGGCCCUCGGGUUGUAAACUGCUUUUGUACAGAACGAAAACUCUCUGGUUAAUACCUGGGGA
rnacentral:rRNA from 1 species